CGUUGAAAAGCCAGGGGACGACUUGUGGAUAGGGGUGAAAGGCUAAUCAAACUCGGUGAUAGCUGGUUCUCCCCGAAAGCUAUUUAGGUAGCGCCUCGGACGAAUACCAUAGGGGGUAGAGCACUGUUUCGGCUAGGGGGUCAUCCCGACUUACCAAACCGAUGCAAACUCCGAAUACCUAUGAGUACUAUCCGGGAGACAGACUGCGGGUGCUAACGUCCGUAGUCAAGAGGAAAACAAUCCAGACCGCCAGCUAAGGCCCCCAAAUUAUAGUUAAGUGGGAAACGAUGUGGGAAGGCAUAGACAGCUAGGAGGUUGGCUUAGAAGCAGCCACCCUUUAAAGAAAGCGUAAUAGCUCACUAGUCGAGUCGGCCUGCGCGGAAGAUGUAACGGGGCUAAAACUAUAUGCCGAAGCUGCGGAUGUGCACUAUGUGCACGUGGUAGGGGAGCGUUCUGUAAGCCGAUGAAGGUGUAUUGAGAAGUAUGCUGGAGGUAUCAGAAGUGCGAAUGCUGACGUGAGUAACGACAAAACGGGUGAAAAACCCGUUCGCUGAAAGACCAAGGGUUCCAGUCCAACGUUAAUCGGGGCUGGGUGAGUCGACCCCUAAGGCGAGGCCGAGAGGCGUAGUCGAUGGGAAAUUGGUUAAUAUUCCAAUACUUCUGUGUAAUGCGAUGAGAGGACGGAGAAAGUUAAGUCAGCCUGGCGUUGGUUGUCCAGGUGAAAGGCAGUAGGCAUGCAUCUUAGGCAAAUCCGGGGUGCUCUAUGCUGAGAGCUGAUAGCAAGCUAGUUUACUAGCGAAGUGGCUGAUACUAUGCUUCCAGGAAAAGUCUCUAAGCUUCAGUUACACAGGAAUCGUACCCUAAACCGACACAGGUGGUCAGGUCGAGUAGACCAAAGCGCUUGAGAGAACUCUGCUGAAGGAACUAGGCAAAAUGGUACCGUAACUUCGGGAGAAGGUACGCUGCUGACGGUGAUAGGACUUGCUCCUUGAGCUAUUGGCAGCCACAGAAACCAGGCCCCUGCAACUGUUUAUUAAAAACAUAGCACUCUGCAAACACGAAAGUGGACGUAUAGGGUGUGAUGCCUGCCCGGUGCUGGAAGGUUAAUUGAUGGGGUUAGCGUAAGCGAAGCUCUUGAUCGAAGCCCCAGUAAACGGCGGCCGUAACAAUAACGGUCCUAAGGUAGCGAAAUUCCUUGUCGGGUAAGUUCCGACCUGCACGAAUGGCGUAACGACUUCCCCACUGUCUCCAGGACAUGCUCAGCGAAAUUGAAUUCUCCGUGAAGAUGCGGAGUACCCGCGGUUAGACGGAAAGACCCCGUGCACCUUUACUGCAGCUUCAGAGUGGCAUUAGGAAAGAACUGUGUAGCAUAGGUGGGAGGCUUUGAAGCAUUGGCGCCAGCCGGUGUGGAGCCAUAGGUGAAAUACCACCCUGUUGUUUUCUGAUGUCUAACCUGCAACCAUGAAACUGGUUGAGGGACCCUCUGUGGCGGGUAGUUUGACUGGGGCGGUCGCCUCCUAAAGGGUAACGGAGGCGCCCAAAGGUUCCCUCAGCCUGGUUGGUAAUCAGGUGGUGAGUGUAAGUGCACAAGGGGGCUUGACUGUGAGACUGACAGGUCGAGCAGGGACGAAAGUCGG
rnacentral:rRNA from 1 species